rnacentral:rRNA from 1 species
GUGUCAGCCGCCGCGGUAAUACGAAGGGUGCAAGCGUUGUUCGGAAUCAUUGGGCGUAAAGCGCGCGCAGGCGGAUUGAUAAGUCAGGUGUGAAAUCUCGGAGCUCAACUCCGAAACUGCGCCUGAAACUAUUAGUCUAGAAUGUCGGAGGGGGCAGGGGAAUUUCACGUGUAGGGGUAAAAUCCGUAGAGAUGUGAAGGAACACCGGAGGCGAAGGCGCCUGCCUGGACGACUAUUGACGCUGAGGCGCGAAAGCGUGGGGAGCAAACAGGAUUAGAUACCCCCGUAGUCC